CACGGUAUCAUUAGACCCAUGUCUGCAUCACAGUCAUUCAAGGUAAGAAGAAAUUAAUGAAUCAGAAUUAUUUCCAAUCCACAUGACUUCCACAUAUGCUUACUCAAGGUUACCUUUUUAAAGGAUUUAUGGAAGCCAUGCAAAAUCCAAUCUAUGGCACGGACAGAAGUGGAAUGGUUACAUGUUUC